rnacentral:rRNA from 1 species
UACGUAGGGUGCGAGCGUUGUCCGGAAUUAUUGGGCGUAAAGGGCUCGUAGGCGGUUUGUCGCGUCGGGAGUGAAAACUCAGGGCUUAACCCUGAGCCUGCUUCCGAUACGGGCAGACUAGAGGUAUGCAGGGGAGAACGGAAUUCCUGGUGUAGCGGUGAAAUGCGCAGAUAUCAGGAGGAACACCGGUGGCGAAGGCGGCCCGCUGGGCAGUGGCUGACGCUGAGGCGCGACAGCGUGGGGAGCAAACAGG